rnacentral:sRNA from 1 species
GCCAGGCGUAGUGGUGCACUCCUGUAAUCCCAGCGGCUCAGGAGGCUGAGGCAGAAGGAUCACAAGUUCAAAGCCAGCCUCAGCAAAAGUGAGGUACUAAGCAACUCAGAGAGACCCUGUCUCUA